rnacentral:rRNA from 1 species
ACUCCUACGGGAGGCAGCAGUGGGGAAUAUUGCACAAUGGGCGCAAGCCUGAUGCAGCCAUGCCGCGUGAUAUCGAAGAAGGGCCUUCGGGUUGAUAAAGUACUUUCAGCAGUGAGGAAGGUGGGUAUGUUAAUAGCAUAUUCAUUUGACGUUAGCUGCAGAAGAAGCACCGGCUAACUCCGUGCCAGCAGCCGCGGUAAUACGGAGGGUGCGAGCGUUAAUCGGAAUUACUGGGCGUAAAGCGCAUGCAGGUGGUUUGUUAAGUCAGAUGUGAAAGCCCGGGGCUCAACCUCGGAAUUGCAUUUGAAACUGGCAAACUAGAGUACUGUAGAGGGGGGUAGAAUUUCAGGUGUAGCGGUGAAAUGCGUAGAGAUCUGAAGGAAUACCGGUGGCGAAGGCGGCCCCCUGGACAGAUACUGACACUCAGAUGCGAAAGCGUGGGGAGCAAACAGGAUUAGAUACCCUGGUAGCUCGAUGU